GACGAACGCUGGCGGCGUGCUUAACACAUGCAAGUCGAACGGUAAGGCCUUCGGGUACACGAGUGGCGAACGGGUGAGUAACACGUGGGUGAUCUGCCCUGCACUUUGGGAUAAGCCUGGGAAACUGGGUCUAAUACCGAAUAGGACCACGCGCUUCAUGGUGUGUGGUGGAAAGCUUUUGCGGUGUGGGAUGGGCCCGCGGCCUAUCAGCUUGUUGGUGGGGUAAUGGCCUACCAAGGCGAUGACGGGUAGCCGGCCUGAGAGGGUGACCGGCCACACGGGGACUGAGAUACGGCCCAGCAUCCUACGGGAGGCAGCAGUGGGGGAUAGUGCACCAUGGGCGCAAGCCUGAUGCAGCGACGCCGCGUGAGGGAUGACGGCCUUCGGGUUGUAAACCUCUUUCAGUAGGGACGAAGCGCAAGUGACGGUACCUAUAGAAGAAGGACCGGCCAACUACGUGCCAGCCGCCGCCGUAA
rnacentral:rRNA from 1 species